GCAUCUGUGCAUGCAGCAUAUCAAUAAGCGGAGGAAAAGAAACUAACAAGGAUUCCCCUAGUAACGGCGAGUGAAGCGGGAAGAGCUCAAAUUUGAAAUCUUAAAGGGUUUCCCUUUACGAAUUGUAGUUUAAAGAAGUGUUUUCUGUUGAGGUUUUGGUAAAGGUUCUUUGGAAUAGGACAUCAUAGAGGGUGAGAAUCCCGUAUUUGACCUUUACUUUCAACUUUGUGAUACACUUUCAAAGAGUCGGAUUGUUUGGGAAUGCAGUCCAAAAUGGGUGGUAAAUUUCAUCUAAAGCUAAAUAUUGGCGAGAGACCGAUAGCGAACAAGUACCGUGAGGGAAAGAUGAAAAGAACUUUGAAAAGAGAGUUAAACAGUACGUGAAAUUGUCAAAAGGGAAGCGUUUGACACCAGUGUUGUUUUUCUGAAAAUCAAUUAAAGAACUGUUUAUGCUAAGCUGUUUAGACUUUAUCAGCUAUCUGCUUAGUUUUGAGCUUUUCUUUAAUGCACUUUUCAGUUAACAAGUCAACAUCAAUUUCUUUUGCUGUAAAAAAGCUUGAGGAAGGUGGCUUGAGAUUCGUCUUAAGUGUUUAUAGCCUCUUGCCUAUGCAGUCGGAGAGAUUGAGGUCUGCAGCGUAGAUCCUUCGGGGCUAAAUGCAUUUGUGCUAAGUUAUAGCAUUUUAUAGACAACUUGUUGACUAUGAUUUGUCUUGUAGCUUACUCGCUUAUGUUAUUUUACCUACGCUUAGGAUGUUGAGCGCAUGUCUCUCUCU
rnacentral:rRNA from 1 species